GACGCCGCUCGGGCGAUCGCCAGUAGCGCUACGUCUCGCCCCGCGAGGGGCCAACAUGGCUCCACUGGAGGAAAGUCCGAGCUCCACAGAGCACGAUGCCGGGUAACACCCGGUGGCGGAAACGCCGAGGAGAGUGCCACAGAGAAGAGACCGCCGUCGCAAGCGUCUCCGGACGACCGACGGCAAGGGUGAAACGGCGGGGUAAGAGCCCACCGCGCUCACGGUAACGCGAGCGGCACGGCAAACCCCAUCGGGAGCAAGGCCGCGUAGGCAGGCGCAAAUUAGAGCUGCUCGCUCGAGCCUGCGGGUAGGCCGCUCGAGGCGACGGGUGACCGUCGUCCUAGAGGAAUGAUCGCCUCCGCACCCGGGGUGACCCGGACGCGAGACAGGACUCGGCUUACAGAGCGACGUCGACC
rnacentral:RNase_P_RNA from 1 species